ensembl:snoRNA small nucleolar RNA SNORA44
AGGCAUGCAAUCCUAAGGACCUGAGCUUGUGUGUAGUUCUGGUUCUCCAAGUGUAUGCAAGAACAUUGGGUGGUCUUUGACUGUUGUGGCUCUUCCUGCCAUCAGCAGCCACUCAGCUGUCCUACAGAU